rnacentral:sRNA from 2 species
GGGAAGUGUACCUAGGGUUCCGCCCCGCCUGCGGGCGGGGGACUGGUCCGAGCGGUACAGGCUGCCGCGGGCUGGCGGCAGUUACACCGUGGGUAUAAAAGACCCGAGCGGA